GUAGCAUUUAACCUUUCUGAACUCUGAAUACAAGGACCUUGGUAUAUUGCAAGAGUUACUUAAAGUCAGGCGACUUAUAUGCAAAGAGCAAGGAAUACCUAUGCACGGAACUUGGAUGACGUCACAUGACUUGCAGAGAGCUGCAGAGGCAGAUGGUUGGGAGACCGCAUACGAGAUCAAGUUUGAAGAUCUGGGAAAACAAUAUGGCGUCGCUUUUGAUAAAGAGCCUGUUUCUGCUAAGUUUAUGAUUGUCAAAAUCUAAAAUACACUAAUAAGGUUAUUAAUUGAACUUUCACUUGAUUGUAGAAAGGGAAUAGCUUAGAAGUUUUAUCAAUUAAAAAAUUCGUUUUCUUAUUUCAAAUGCUUUUGAAGAAUAAAUGCUUUUUUGAUGAUAAAAA